GUUUAUCAAAAACAUGUCUUUUAGAAUUUAAUUUAAAGUCUAACCUGCCCACUGAAUAAUUUUAAAUGGCCGCAGUAUUUUAACUGUGCAAAGGUAGCAUAAUCAUUAGUCUUUUAAUUGAAGGCUGGAAUGAACGGUUGGAUGAAAUAUUAACUGUUUCAUAAAAAUUUAUAAUAGAAUUUUAUUUUUUAGUUAAAAAGCUAAAAUUUUAUUAAAAGACGAGAAGACCCUAUAAAUCUUUAUAUUUUAUUGGGGUGAUAUUAAAAUUUAAUAAACUUUUAAUUUAUAUUUUACAUAAAUUAAUGAAUUAUUGAUCCACUUAUAGUGAUUAAAAAAUUAAGUUACUUUAGGGAUAACAGCGUAAUUUUUUUAAAGAGUUCAUAUUCA
rnacentral:rRNA from 1 species